ACAAACAAACAAACAAACAAACAGCAGCACGUACACGCAGAGAAAAGGAAGAAGAAAAAUAGCAAAGGUGCAGCUAAACUAUUAUUACAAUCUUCAAUAAGAGUAUGCAGCAAAAAAAUGAAACUAUGCAGCAUAAGGGACACAGACAUAUUAAUGUACAUCCGGUAUUGCACAAGUAAGGAACACUUACACAUAUCGCAUUAAUGUUAGAGUGUAUAAGGAUAGUCCCAAUAAGUAAGUGCUAAACUGAGGAGUUAUACACUUUUACUGCAGAGGGAAUUAAUGACCUGCGUUAGCGUGUUGUCUUAAGUUUUGGAUGUCUCAGCCUUCCACUGAAUGAGCUGUCCAUGGUCUCCACAGUGAAAUGCAACCAGUGGGAGGGGUUUCCCAAGAUGGUGGUCAGCAUCCUCCUUUCACACAUCUCCUUAACUGUGGGCAGCCCAGAAACCAAAAUAGCAUAUCUAGCUUGUUCAGUCCCUUCCUGUCUUGGUCAGAGCUGCCUUAACCCCAACAGACCACAGCAGAGUGAAUAUCAGAACCAACACCAGAGUGAUAAAAGAUUUUAGCAGGUAGGAAUUAACUCCAAGAUGUCCAGGUAUCAGGACAUGAGACUCUAAAUACUGUCGUCGGAAGCUCAACUCUGAUCUGGCUCACUUCUAGUUCCUGGAACAAGCUAACUAGAGCCUUUUCCCCCCAGAGAACAACUGACAAGGCAUUCAUUCCUACUAGAGACCAAUGGAAAUGUAUUAAAAUAUGAGUAAAGUUUACCUUAAAUAGUCACUGAUCAGAUCACUGUCAACACAUCAAGGUGAGAAAUCAUCAAUUAACAUUUGAUAUAAAACACUACAAAUACACACUAUCAGAGCAAUAUAUGUGGGUACCUCACAAAUGAAUGCAUAUUACUAUCAAAACAGAUUAUCUACAAUGGAGAAUAUCUGAUUAAAGAAGAAACAAAAAUCUAUUUUCCCUUGAGAGCUGGUAUAUUCCAAUAGUGCUGAUUGUAAGCUGCAGCUGGGCUGCUUCUGUGUGGUGAUCCAACAGCAAUUCCAAGGACACUGGUAACUCAAAGAAUGACACACUAAACCAUUGUAUACACACGUAAAUUGUACACACUUGUACAUAGGAAAAAGAAAGAUAACUGAAUGUGUGCACUUCAGGCAUCCAAAGACAGUCCAAGGAAAGAAAAAAGACAAGCACUCAAAUAAACAAACAAAUGACCAGACAGCCAUUCUCCCGAGCUGUGACAGCUCUCACAAUGCCUCUUAACAAUUUUCAAUAGUAUAGCCAUAAAUAUUUUCUGGAGAUAAAAAAAAAACAACAAAAAAAAAACUAUGAAAUGGUUCUCUCGCAUUUGUCUAAAAAUCCAAGCUGUGGUUCAGUCCGAAACCAAUGAUAGGACCAUCCAGAUAUCUCACCAAAUCACCACACUUCUGCAUUUACAUGGGUCCUCCACUCAUUAAAUACUCUCACAUUUUGAAAGAGAACCACUGGUAUGAGAGGUUCUCAGAGAAGGAGAAACAGCCGGCUGCUACCACCUCAUAUUUAGGACAAACUACCAGAGUCUCAAAAAGUUAAAGUUAGAGUCCCACUGAUCAUCUCACACUGGUGAAAUUACGCCUCUGUAUUUCACCCAUCCUUGUGAGCGGUGAGCUGCAGCUGUGGCCAUGCUCAGAAACUAUUUGGUGGUUUAACCCCCAAUCCAACCCCUUAAAGCUGAGUGUCAAACGAAGAGGCAUUGGGUCCCAUUUGUAAUGUCUUAGGUUUAAUCCGACCGGAUUUAUACCACAAUAUUCCAGUCCUAGGGUGGACACUCAUACCACCAGGCCACUGAGAAUUUACCAUUUGAAGUCACGAAUAACAAAAGACUUUUGGUUUAGCGCUCCCUUAUUUCCUCUUGCAAUGUGGGGUCCAGCAUUAGGCGACUGUGGUCUAGGGAUGAUAGCUGACGGGGAGGGUGAGAGUUCUGUGACCAAGUCUAAAAACUAGCUUCUUUUGCAGAUCAGCCAUUGCAGCCUUAAUAGCACAUGUUAAGAGUGUGUUGGCAAGGCAUCCCAUCAAAGACAACGUCAAGUGCUACUGCAAGUGAAACAAUAGACUCAAAUAGCACUUUGCCUUUUUUCAAAUUGAUGAUCCAGCCUCCAGCAGGUUUAUCUUUCAGCCUGGAGUGGUGCACCAGCAGGGUAGUUAACCAGUAAUCAAGUCACAUCUGUCAUCCAAUUUCAAAUUCACCACCUCACAUACCAGCCCUGCCUCCCCCUUUGCCUGGCUUAACUCAUCCUCUUGUGUUUUCACUGAGUGACACUUGGAAGUCGAGAAGAGGCCCCACUGAUUGCCCUUGAUGUGAAUCUGUUUCAUCUGCCUGUUUGUUGCCAGUUUCCAACUUAUUAGCUACUAGACUGAUGAAAAUAAGAAAAACACAGAAAAACAGCAGCAUGGAGAGCGGUAUUAUUUCAGCAUUUUUGGAUAUCUUCCUAAAUUUACAUCGGAAUUAAGAUUAAAACUAUAGGAUUCACAUCCGACAAACAAAUAAUAUUUUCAUCAUUAGGCAUGAAGAAGAAGAAGAAGAAAAUAUCAUUUCUAUAGCACCUCUCAAGAUAAAAAUCACGAGGCGCUUCACAGAAGCAAAAAAAUGUAAAAAUAUAAAAAAGCAUUUAGAAAAUGUUAAAAAAUAUAUUUAAAAUGAGCAAAAAUAGGCAAUUGGGAUUUAAAAGAAAACAUGUAAAGAAAGAGAGAGAGUGAAUAGGAAAGAGGGAAAUCAGUGGAUCCUGAGGAAGGUGGAAUAGGUGGGGAGAGCAGAAUAAAGAGAGAGGGGUUGAAGAAGGUCACACCAAAGCCAGCUUGAACAAGUGAGUCUUCAGCUGCUUUUUGAAGGAGACCACUGAGUCCACUGAUCUCAGGCUCAGGGGGAGAGAGUUCCAGAGCCUGGGGGCCACAGCAGCAAAUGAUCUGUCACCUUUGGUCUUUAGCCUGGUGCUGCACAACCAGUAGGCUUUGAUCACUGGACCUCAGGGACCUGCUGGGGGUGUAGGGACUAAGAAGAUCACCAAAGUAAGAUGGUGCUUGUCCAUAUAAGGCCCUAUAGACCAGAACCAGGAUCUUGAAAUGAACCCUGAAGUUGACUGGCAGCCAGUGAAGCUGGAGGAGAAGCGGGGUGAUGUGGGUGUGUUUGGAGGACUUGGUCAGAAGCCGAGCACAGGCAUUCUGAACCACCUGUAGAUGGUUCAGGGAGGUUCUGCUCAGACACGUGAAAAGAGAGUUACAGUAGUCUAAGCGUGAGGAGAUGAAGGUGUGGUGAAUAUUCUCAAGUUCAGAGUGGGACAGAAUGGGACUCAGCAAUGUUCCUGAGAUGGAAGAAGGAAGAGCGAACAAGAAAACUGACAUGAGAAUCCAGGGUGAGAGCUGGGUCACAGGUCAUGCCAAGAUUCCUGACAGAAGGUUUGGUGUGGGAAGCAAGCUGACCAAGAGAGUCUCUGACUUUGGGAACCAGCUUGUCUGGGGCACAGAUGAGGAUCUCACUCUUAUCUUCAUUCAGCUGAAGAAAGCUCCCAUCCAUCCAGGUUUUGAUAGAGUCUAAGCAGGUGUGUAACAGCUGCAGCUUAGACAUCUCAUGGGGCUUAAAGGAGAUGUACAGUUGGAUGUCAUCUGCAUAAAGAUGGUAGGAGAUUCCUUUGAAGAAGCUCAGGAUGUGCUGAAGAGGAAGCAAAUAGAGGAGGAAGAGCAGAAGCCCCAGCGCAGAACCUUGUGGGACACCAUGAGUAAGAGAGGUGGUGGAGGACCUAACCUUGGAGACGGCCACAGAAAAGGAGCACUCAGAGAGAUAAGAGGAGAACCACUCCAGUGCAGAUCCUGAUAGGCCUACCCAGACUAUCAGCUUCUCCAGUAGCAGGUGAUGGUCAACAGCGUCAAAGGCUGCGGUCAGGUCCAGCAGGACCAGAACAGAACAGUCCCCUGGAUCCAGUGGCGGUUCUACAUGGAAUUACUCCCCGGGCGAGGCCCCCUUUGAGUGAUUGAUACUAAUCAGAGCCAGGUUAGUGAGCCGCCCCUGAAACAUAGUUGACCUCAGGUAUGACUUGAUCAAGUUUUGAAAAGCUCCUCUCAGCUUGAGCAACAGUGACUGGCAGAGCAGUCCAAAAGCUGGGGUAGAUCUCCAAUAGAUCUUUAUCAUGAUCCAUAAUAUUUUAGAAUUGCCUCUGAAAUUGUAAUUUAAACGACAUAAAAAAACUGCAUUUGCAUUUUUAAUCACAAUUGUCUAUUUUUGCUUAUUUUAAGCUUUGUAAUCAUUUUUUAAUAUAUUUUUGAUGUUUUAUAUUUUUUUGUUUUUGCAAGGUGCUAUAGAAAAGAUGUUUUUCUUUCUUUUUUUUUAAAAGGCAAAUGCACAACGAGGAGAUACGUUUUGCUCCUGUUUCUACUAAACAAACACUAGGGCAUGCUAAAAGCAAACCAAAACUGUCUUGUUUCCCUUUAAAGAAUUAUUCAAAAUGCACUUUUGUGAAAAUUUCUAGUUUUCCACCCAAAGCACAGGAUAUGCAUUUUUCCUUUUUUCAAGUUAAGGUUUGGCUGGAAAUUAAAAACACAGCUCAUCAUUUUGAACCUUGGUGAAAUGCUUACACUAGACACAUGUUACACUAUUGUUUAAGGACAGGUGCAUCAUCAUUUUUAAUUCUCUUAGCUGUUGAUGAGGCUUUUUAGCUUUGGAAGCUAUUUGGAUUAUGUUUGCAGCCAGAAUGAAUGUAGCCAAUCACAUCUCCGGAAACUUUGGCUGAGUUUGGUGAUUUUUGCAGCACACAUCGGGUGAAUGAUUGAAAACAUUACCUGGUGAUGUGUCAGCAUAUAAUUGCUGUUCUUGGCUUUAUAGCAAAUGUGGUUUCUAAGAGCAACCAUUAUUUGGAACAGGAAGUUUUGGCCAAGAUGUCCAACCAACACAGGCUGUUAUAUUCAAAACAGACUGUCCUGUUCAAGCAAAGCAAGCAUGGCCAAAGGAUUAAGUACUGCAUUAUAAUACCCCUCGGAUAAAACAGAAACACUGCCCAUUGUGCUCUCAGUGGGAUAAAGUGUGAGCCAACCAAUUUCCUUGGAGGAAAUCCCAACAAAACAUUUAACACCAGCUAAGUGUUUGCUGGAUUUAGGGUUUAGACUCAUUCCAGUUCUUUACUCAUUUUGUUCAAAUCAACAGAAAUCUCAUCAAAAUCCAAUAACAAUUGUUUGUGAGACCUUUUUAAAAUGAAACUUUGCCUGUUUGUGUCCUGUUGAGGGUGUAGUGGAUAAGCAAACUGCUUACAUGUGAUGCUCCUGGUUCCACUCUGUGAUAAAAUGUUUUGGAGACAUUUCAGAGAUACAGAAGUCAGCUCUGCACUUUUUGAAGAGAUGUUCUGCCAAGCUCUCAGGUUAAGUGUUCAGGAGAUCAUCUGGGGAGAUAACUGGCAAACGUAGCAGCUACUCUUUCACAAUGUUUACAGGACUAGAAGUGUUUAUACUGUCUGAUGACUUCUGUCUGUUUUUUCCUAACCCGUUGCCUCGGUUGGUUUUCUGUUGAUGAGAAAUAUUAGGGUGUGCUUGACAUUUGAUAUUAGAUUAUUAUAAAGUAAAACAUAAUAAAUGCUCCCCUAACCUCAUGAGACCCCUUUUUGCUUCACUUAGCUGUUUAAAAAUAAUUAAACAUAAAAAUCACAAAUCAAAGCAGUUUUAAACAGAAUAGAAUGUUUAUGUCAGUUUAAUAUAAUUGAUUCAUUGUAAUCAUGCAGCACUACAUUAAUGCUCAUAUUUAUGAACUAAACUACAUAUCAUGGCCACGUUUUGGCCAGUUGUUAAUCAUUUCUGCUAGUAAAGGGCCAUCAUUCAGGAUAGUUGCACUGUCUUUCAUAUACGGCGUUGUAUUUUUAGUGUUCCUCAGCAACACAGAACAGAAAGCUUGAUUAGAUGUUGUCAAAAUGUCUUCUCUGAGGAAAAAGGUGAAGCUCUCCCACAUAUGUACUCCAUCAUUCACAAUAGCAACAAAGCACUGAAGCUUGAGUAAAAAAACAAGUCAAGCGUGGUCCAUUUUUACAAAAGCACAACAAUUACUGAAGAACGAAUCUUGGACUUGCACAGCUUUGAUAAACAGUGAUGGUGGAACUGCAUUAGACACUGAAAUGCUACGUUUAAUUGAUGCUAGUGGUUGUAAGAGGUUCUUUGGAUGCUUUUAAAGCUGUUAUUUGUGAGGUGCUGGUGCCUAGAUGGAGGAAUGGGAAGCAGUGAUGAGUCACAUCAUUAUCAAUCAUAAAUCAUGUUGGUCACUACUGUUCUAUACCAGCAUUGAUAAUCCAAUAAUAUCUUUAAAUCUUUUCCAGUUUAAAUCAAAUGGGUUGUUUAUGAUGUAUCUUGCACUUCCCUCCUCGAUCAGCUUCUGAUAUAAAACAAGUAUUAUUCCUUGUUGGAUGUAGGGAUGUGUGUUAAAAAAUUGAGGCAAAGAAAGUGCCAUCUACUUCCGCUUGAAUAAGCCUGCGAGUAAUCACUGAAUAAUUCAUCUAAAAUGCUAAGUAUUUCUAUUUCAAUGCCUUAAAUCUCCCAUGGUAGAAAAUUACAUGUUUUGGAAAUGAGUACCUCACUUUCAAGAAAAAAACUAAGCAGUGGCAUCUUUACUCAUAUGAUCCAUAUACCAGUUUUGCACCAGUUACCUUAGCAUUGGUCCAAACUGUCAAAUAUUAAUGAAACUGUAGAUGUCUGCAAUAGUGGCUGGUUUCUGAACAUUCAUAUUGAGAUGUAUGGUAAGGAAAAUGUAAAUUUAAAAAUUCAUCUGUUUCUUGUUAUCUACUUCCUGUUUCCAGAGCCAAUCAUAUUUGAGCGCAAAGGGUUGCCAAGUCUGCGCCGACAUUUGCAAAUUGUGGAAAGAAUUUUCGUAACAGGAUACUGUUGAAUUGUGUGCUUCCUUAAAGCUACAGGGUGUGGUUUCCUGGCACUAGGGGGCAGUGCAUACAUUUCAGGUUAUUUUUACACCAUGUUGCUGUGACUGUCACUAGUAUAAAAACAUUAUGGUAAAUGUUAUUUGUGGGGAAGAAAGCAUGCAACCUCGGCCUGACUCCACAGAAUUUGGUGGUCUUUCAGUUAGUCCCAUCUAGAGAACGCAACGCAGAUGCAUAGAUGCAAGUUUUCUGGCGCUGUAGUUUCUCAUAGACCUGCAUCUGAAGGCAUUUCCAGAGAUUAACAGUAAAAACUACACAUUAUCUCUUUAACUCAAUGAGCCUUGCAUGGCAGCUCUUGUGGUCUGCCUGUAUCUGUUUUGUUUUACACGUUUUGUGUGUGUAACCUUGGCCAGGCUGUACUGCGAAGACAAAUGUCUAUGCUUCAGGACGUUGGGGCACUGACAAUAAUGUUGAUUCUUAUUCAAAGCUGUAACAAAUACGUUUCUGUUUUUCAUUCAUCUCCAAACACACUCCAGCUAUGUCACUGUAGAUAGAUUUUAAAACUAUUCUGAAACAAAAUUUGCUUAACACACUUAGGCCAAGAUGGCCAUUUCAAAUGGGGCUUACUCUAAAAUGCAAUCCGUUUCGCAUGUUCUUGUGAUUCAGUUUUGAACUGUUCAGUAAAUUAAAUGCAGUGGUUCAUGGGAUAGUUUGCUAACAGGCAGACAUGGCUUACCUGCAAAGCAUUAAGCAAAGAUGUUGCACAAUUUGUUAUGCUUAAUGCAUAUGAUGGGGACAACUUAGCUACAACCAAAUGAAGUUUAAAGGAGACAUAACAUGAAAAACCCACUUUUUUAUCCGUUAACACAGUGUGUUUCACAUUUUAAGUGUCUAAGUGAGCAAAAAGGCUUAUAUUAUUCACUGGAGUUGCUAUUUAGAUAUUUAAUAAUUAAGUUUUGGGCAUAUUUGUCCACCCGUUCAGUUUUUCAAAUUAUCUAUUAAAUCAGUAAUUUAUUUCGUCAGGAUAACUACCACAUAUGGUAAUGGCCCUCGGCUAAACACAGAGCCAAUCCGCCAUUUUUUCAUCUCGCUAAGAUUUUUUGUAGUCCUAUUGGAAAAAUGCAGAAUGUCUGGUUAUUUUAGCCACACACAGCUCAAAACUGUUCCUCGUUUUAAGGAAGGGUGGUGUGGCAGUAUUUAAACCCAGGAGCUGAUGACACAACUCUUAAAAACAAAACUGAAGAAAAAGUAGUGUGUGUGUGUGUGUGUGUGUGUGUGUGUGUGUGUUUGUGUGUGUGUGUGUGUGUGUGUGUGCGCGCGUGGUUCGUUCGUGUCUCCUGGCUAGUAAGUACCGAGGGCUUCAUCUAUCUAAAAGGAGUCAUUUCCAUCUGAAUGUGGUAGCACCGGGACACAGCAGCAGAGCGGUAAGCUUCAUAUAACUCUAAAAUGUCGACAAACUUUACUUUAGGUUUACGGGCAUUAGCAGCACUAAAGCGUUAGCAUCCGGCUUGCUAUCGCUAGCACAGUAUGCUAGUAAAGUUAUCACCCAGAUUAAUGUGGAUUUGGCUGAUUUUCGUGGAAUAAAACGUGAUUUCUGAUCAACGCCUUCUUUUACACCAGAUGUACAUCCACUGAUUGUAGCAGCAGAGAGCCUGUGUGUUAUUUUACGUGAGUGUGAUGUAAUCUUAGCAUCCAGUAAAUAAAGUCCCAUAUCAGCUAAAAUGCAGCGUGACAAAGUCAUUAAAGUGCGUCAACACAGUGGAUUUAAUAGUUUUAAAGAAGAUCUCUGAGUGAAGUGAGGUUAGUUUUUUGUCUCACUGCAGAUAUAAAAACGAACUCUGCAUCAGUCAGACGCAGCAAAGCUCACCGUCUGUAUGAGCGUGAGCAUCGGAAAGCUGAUCAAAUCAGCUGUAAAAUAAUUAAAACAACAGUAAAAAUGCUCCUUUGCUUUUUAGAGUCCACAUCCAGAAGUCUGGAGCCGUGUUUCACUGACAGGCUGUCAGCCUAACGCCCUGAUGAGCUCAGCUGGGACAAACUGGUCUGAUGUUUAGGAACACAGAACGUUCAGAUGUUGGAGCUUCACGACACCUACUGAGGAAGGAGACCCACCAGUAAAGAGACGGUCUGGACCAGACCAAAAAUAUGGCGAUGACAUCAUGGAACUGGUCUUUGGAAAAGUUUUCCCUGAACCAACUCCGUUUCUAGAUGAGGUAGAGAAGAUCUGCAUCUCACCAACUCUCUGGUCUCAGUAUUCAGACAACGGAGGUCUCCCACUGUUAUCCAGGACCAGUUUGAAGCCCACAUACUUCCCCUCCCUCAUCAUCAGGAAACAUCAAUCCGUAUCCUGAGGACAACAGAAGACGGCAGGAGGACAGGAACUCUGAGACCUAGAUACCACCAGCACCGGGGCACAAAGCACCUGUGUGCACAACGCCUGUUUAACUACUAAAACCUGUUUAUUAUAUAGUUCUACUUAUUUGCUGUGAGGUUAAUACUUAGAAAAUUUGUAUUUUAAUGUAAACAAUAAAAAAAUCACUGAUUGUAUGUUUUCUUUUAGAUGUAAUGGUCCAAACUCCGCCUUGUAGACAUUUAUUGCAUCCUGUAGGUAAAUACACAGAACAGGCUCAGAUCCAUGAUGACCCAGCAUGCUCUUCUUCCAUUCUGGCUGUUAGGGAUUGUAUCAAUAACUCAAUGCCUACUGAUGUUUCCACCUAACGGUAUUUAUUUAGAAUGCAGGUAAGAUUUAACUAUAUUUGUUAGCAAAGCAGACUGAUCUUGGGAAUUUCACUGCAGCACUGAUGUCCACCUCUCUGUACACAUUAGAGAGAAUUACCACUUUACAGCAAAACACACAUUUAAUAAAGAUAUAGGCUACGCAUUGCAGACAAUAAAAACAAAGUUCUAAGCAUUAGAAUUAUAAUGAUCACAUUAAAGAACAUUUGGAGGAAUGUUCUUUAUUUUUGACUAGAAUCUCAAAUCUUUAAAUUAAAAUGUAACUGCUUUUUAUCCAUUUUCAGCCAUUAAGACACCCAAUAUUAAAUAAGACUACUUAUAAAAUUAUUUAUAAUUAUAUGUAUGU